GAUGAACGCUGGCGGCGUGCCUAAUACAUGCAAGUCGAGCGAACGGACGAGAAGCUUGCUUCUCUGAUGUUAGCGGCGGACGGGUGAGUAACACGUGGAUAACCUACCUAUAAGACUGGGAUAACUUCGGGAAACCGGAGCUAAUACCGGAUAAUAUUUUGAACCGCAUGGUUCAAAAGUGAAAGACGGUCUUGCUGUCACUUAUAGAUGGAUCCGCGCUGCAUUAGCUAGUUGGUAAGGUAACGGCUUACCAAGGCAACGAUGCAUAGCCGACCUGAGAGGGUGAUCGGCCACACUGGAACUGAGACACGGUCCAGACUCCUACGGGAGGCAGCAGUAGGGAAUCUUCCGCAAUGGGCGAAAGCCUGACGGAGCAACGCCGCGUGAGUGAUGAAGGUCCUCGGAUCGUAAAACUCUGUUAUUAGGGAAGAACUUAUGUGUAAGUAACUGUGCACAUCUUGACGGUACCUAAUCAGAAAGCCACGGCUAACUACGUG
rnacentral:rRNA from 1 species